UACGGGGGGGGCAAGCGUUGUUCGGAAUUACUGGGCGUAAAGGGCGCGUAGGCGGCCUGCUAAGUCGAACGUGAAAUCCCCGAGCUCAACUCGGGAACUGCGUCCGAUACUGGCAGGCUUGAAUCCGGGAGAGGGAUGCGGAAUUCCACGUGUAGCAGUGAAAUGCGUAGAGAUGUGGAGGAACACCGAUGGCGAAGGCAGCCCCCUGGGUCAAAACUGACGCUCAUGCACGAAAGCGUGGGGAGCAAACAGG
rnacentral:rRNA from 1 species